rnacentral:rRNA from 1 species
GAGUUUGAUCCUGGCUCAGGACGAACGCUGGCGGCGUGCUUAACACAUGCAAGUCGAACGAUGAAGUGGAGCUUGCUCCACGGAUUAGUGGCGAACGGGUGAGGAACACGUGAGAAACCUGCCUCGGAUUUUGGGAUAACAAAUGGAAACGUUUGCUAAUACCAAAUAACGUCGGAGAGUCACAUGACUUUCUGACGAAAGGAAUUCCGAUUUGAGAGGGUCUCGCGGCCUAUCAGCUUGUUGGCGGGGUAAUGGCCCACCAAGGCAACGACGGGUAGCUGGUCUGAGAGGAUGGUCAGCCACACUGGGACUGAGACACGGCCCAGACUCCUACGGGAGGCAGCAGUGGGGAAUCUUGCGCAAUGGGCGAAAGCCUGACGCAGCAACGCCGCGUGCGGGAAGAAGGCUUUCGGGCUGUAAACCGCUUUCAGCAGGAACGAAAAUGACGGUACCUGCAGAAGAAGGAGCGGCCAACUAUGUGCCAGCAGCCGCGGUGAUACAUAGGCUUCAAGCGUUGUCCGGAUUUAUUGGGCGUAAAGAGUUCGUAGGCGGUCGAGCAAGUCGGGUGUGAAAAUUCUGGGCUCAACCCAGAGACGCCACCCGAUACUGCUUAACUUGAGUUCGAUAGGGGAGUGGGGAAUUCCUAGUGUAGCGGUGAAAU